UACGUAGGGUGCAAGCGUUUGUCCGGAAUUAUUGGGCGUAAAGAGCUCGUAGGCGGUUUGUCGCGUCGGCUGUGAAAACUCGGGGCUCAACCCCGAGCCUGCAGUCGAUACGGGCAGACUAGAGUGCUGUAGGGGAGACUGGAAUUCCUGGUGUAGCGGUGAAAUGCGCAGAUAUCAGGAGGAACACCGGUGGCGAAGGCGGGUCUCUGGGCAGUAACUGACGCUGGAGGAAGCGAAAGCGUGGGGAGCAAACAGG
rnacentral:rRNA from 1 species